rnacentral:rRNA from 1 species
AUUGAACGCUGGCGGCAUGCCUUACACAUGCAAGUCGAACGGCAGCACGGGUGCUUGCACCUGGUGGCGAGUGGCGAACGGGUGAGUAAUACAUCGGAACGUACCUUAUCGUGGGGGAUAACGCAGCGAAAGCUGUGCUAAUACCGCAUGCGCCCUGAGGGGGAAAGCGGGGGAUCGAAAGACCUCGCGCGAUUGGAGCGGCCGAUGCCUGAUUAGCUUGUUGGUGGGGUAAAAGCCCACCAAGGCUACGAUCAGUAGCUGGGCUGAGAGGACGAUCAGCCACACUGGGACUGGGACACGGCUCAGACUCCUACGGGAGGCAGCAGUGGGGAAUUUUGGACACUGGGGGCAACCCUGAUCCAGCAAUGCCGCGUGAGUGAAGAAGGCCUUCGGGUUGUAAAGCUCUUUUGUCAGGGAAGAAACACCGGCUCUAACACAGUCCGGGAAUGACGGUACCUGAAGAAUAAGCACCGGCUAACUACGUGCCAGCCGCCGCGGUAA